rnacentral:tRNA from 1 species
AGGGAUGUGGCGUAAAUGGUAAAGCGGUCGGGAGCAAAGCUCCCGGCGAUUGCGAGUUCGAGUCCCGCCAUCCCUG